CAGCAGCCGCGGUAAUUCCAGCUCCAAUAGCGUAUAUUAAAGUUGUUGCAGUUAAAAAGCUCGUAGUUGAAUUUCGGGGUUAGUAGGUUGGUCAUGCCCCUGGUAUGUACUGGUCUCACUGAUUCCUCCCUCCUGAUGAACCUUAAUGCCAUUAAUUUGGUGUUUUGGGGAAUUUGGACCGUUACUUUGAAAAAAUUAGAGUGUUUAAAGCAAGCUAACGCUUGAAUACAUUAGCAUGGAAUAAUGAAAUAGGACGUUCGAUCCUAUUUUGUUGGUUUCUAGGAUUGACGUAAUGAUUAAUAGGGAUAGUUGGGGGCAUUAGUAUUCAAUUGUCAGAGGUGAAAUUCUUGGAUUUAUUGAAGACUAACUACUGCGAAAGCAUUUGCCAAGGAUGUUUUCAUUAAUCAAGAACGAAAGUUAGGGGAUCGAAGACGAUCAGAUACCGUCGUAGUCUUAACCAUAAACUAUGCCGACUAGGGAUCGGAUGAUGUUAAUUUUUUAAUGACUCAUUCGGCGCCUUACG
rnacentral:rRNA from 1 species